rnacentral:rRNA from 1 species
AGUGGAUGGGGAGCAACCUAGUUGUGCGUGUGUAAAGGUAGUGCCAUGAAAAGCGGUGAUCAUGAUGAAAAUCAAUUCCCGGUACCCGAAACCGACACAGGUGGGCAAGUAGAGAAUACUAAGGGGCGCGAGGUAACUCUCUCCAAGGAGCUCGGCAAAAUGACCCCGUAACUUAGGGAGAAGGGGUGCCACCGAGAGGUGGUCGCAGUGAAGAGGCCCAGGCGACUGUUUAGCAAAAACAUAGGUCUCUGCAAACUCGAAAGAGGAGGUAUAGGGGCUGACGCCUGCCCAGUGCCGGAAGGUUAAAGAAGUUGGUCAGUCUUAGGAUGAAGCUAGCGACUGAAGCCCCGGUGAACGGCGGCCGUAACUAUAACGGUCCUAAGGUAGCGAAAUUCCUUGUCGGGUAAGUUCCGACCCGCACGAAAGGCGUAACGAUCUGGGCGCUGUCUCGGAGAGAGGCUCGGCGAAAUAGGAUUGUCUGUGAAGAUACGGACUACCUGCAUUUGGACAGAAAGACCCUAUGAAGCUUUACUAUAGCUUGGAAUUGUGUUCGGGCUUCCUGUGCGCAGGAUAGGUGGGAGGCGUAGAAGGUAUUCUUGUGGGGAUACUGGAGCCAACGGUGAGAUACCACUCUCAGGAGGCUAGAAUUCUAACUUAAUUAAGGACAGUUUCAGGUGGGUAGUUUGACUGGGGCGGUCGCCUCCAAAAAGGUAACGGAGGCGUACAAAGGUUCCCUCAGACUGGUUGGAAAUCAGUCGAAGAGUGCAAAGGCAGAAGGGAGCUUGACUGCGAGAAGUACAGUUCGAGCAGGGUGGAAACACGGUCUUAGUGAUCCGACGGUGCUGUGUGGAAGGGCCGUCGCUCAACGGAUAAAAGUUACUCUAGGAUAACAGGCUGAUCUCCCCCAAGAGUUCACAUCGACGGGGAGGUUUGGCACCUCGAUGUCGGCUCAUCGCAACCUGGGGCGGAAGUACGUCCCAAGGGUUGGGCUGUUCGCCCAUUAAAGCGGUACGUGAGCUGGGUUCAGAACGUCGUGAGACAGUUCGGUCCAUAUCCGAUGUAGGCGUGAGAAUAUUGAGAGGAGCCUUCCUUAGUACGAGAGGACCGGGAAGGACGCACCGCUGGUGUACCUGUUAUGAUGCCAAUUGUAAACGCAGGGUAGCCAAGUGCGGAGAGGAUAACCGCUGAAAGCAUCUAAGUGGGAAGCCCACCUCAAGAUGAGUAUUCUGGUGUAAGGUCACGGGAAGACGACCCGUAAAUAGGCACGAGGUGGAAGUGCAGAGAUGUAUGAAGCCGAAGUGUACUAAUAGACCGUCGGCUUGACC